GGCGCUAUGGUGUAGUGGCAGCACAUGGGAUUCUGACUUAGUGUAGAUUUCCCAUAACCCAGGUUCGACCCCUGGUAGUGCCU